GCCCUAGUAGCUCAGUUGGUAGAGCGGCUGACUUGUAAUCAGCAGGCCGGGAGUCCAACUCUCCCCUAGGGCU
rnacentral:tRNA from 10 species